rnacentral:rRNA from 1 species
GACGGAGGAUGCAAGCGUUAUCCGGAAUUAUUGGGCGUAAAGCGUCCGCAGGUGGCUGUUCAAGUCUGCUGUCAAAGCGCAGAGCUUAACUCUGUACAGGCGGUGGAAACUGAAGAGCUAGAGUAUGGUAGGGGUAGAGGGAAUUCCCGGUGUAGCGGUGAAAUGCGUAGAUAUCGGGAAGAACACCAGUGGCGAAAGCGACUUUCUGGUCUGUAACUGACACUGAGGCGCGAAAGCGUGGGGAGCAAACAGG